rnacentral:rRNA from 1 species
GACGAACGCUGGCGGCGUGCUUAACACAUGCAAGUCGAACGGAAAGGCCCUGCUUUUGUGGGGUGCUCGAGUGGCGAACGGGUGAGUAACACGUGAAUAACCUGCCCUUGACUUUGGGAUAACUUCAGGAAACUGGGGCUACUACCGGAUAGGAGCUCCUGCUGCAUGGUGGGGGUUGGAAAGUUUCGGCGGUUGGGGAUGGACUCGCGGCUUAUCAGCUUGUUGGUGGGGUAGUGGCUUACCAAGGCUUUGACGGGUAGCCGGCCUGAGAGGGUGACCGGCCACAUUGGGACUGAGAUACGGCCCAGACUCCUACGGGAGGCAGCAGUGGGGAAUAUUGCACAAUGGGCGGAAGCCUGAUGCAGCAACGCCGCGUGCGGGAUGACGGCCUUCGGGUUGUAAACCGCUUUCGCCUGUGACGAAGCGUGAGUGACGGUAAUGGGUAAAGAAGCACCGGCUAACUACGUG